GUAAACGGCUGCAUAAAUCUGAGUGUACUAAGGUAGCGCUAUAAUUUGCCCUUUAAAUGGGGGCUGGUAUGAAUGGGUUCACGUGAGAGUUGCUGUGUCAUAGAAAAUAAAUUUAAAUUAACUUUCAGGUGAAGAGGCCUGGCUAAAUGUGUAGGACGACAAGACCCUAGAAGCUUUACUUAAAAUAGGUUAUUAUGGUAGUCUGUUAAAGUUUUGUUGGGGCAACAUAAUUAAAAAGUAUAAUUUCUCGUUUUUUACUUACAAGUUUCAACCACGUUAGUGGAUACGAUAAGUUACUCUAGGGAUAACAGCGUAAUUUUUUUUAAUAGUACGUAUUGUAAAAAAAGUUUGCGACCUCGAUGUUGGAUUAAGGUUUCCUUAAGGUGUAGAAGCUUUAGAGGGUUGGCCUGUUCGUCCAUUAAAACCUUACA
rnacentral:rRNA from 1 species